CUACGGGGGGCUGCAGUGGGGAAUAUUGGACAAUGGGGGAAACCCUGAUCCAGCAAUGCCGCGUGUGUGAAGAAGGCCUGCGGGUUGUAAAGCACUUUCGGUUGGGAGGACUGCUUCUAGCACUAAUAUUGUUGGAAGUUGACGUUACCUUCAGAAGAAGCACCGGCUAACUCCGUGCCAGCAGCGGCGGUAAUACGGAGGGUGCAAGCGUUAAUCGGAAUUACUGGGCGUAAAGCGCGCGUAGGCGGCUAGAUCAGUCGGGUGUGAAAGCCCCGGGCUUAACCUGGGAACUGCAUCCGAUACUGUCUAGCUUGAGUACAGGAGAGGAGAGUGGAAUUCCACAUGUAGCGGUGAAAUGCGUAGAUAUGUGGAGGAACACCAAUGGCGAAGGCAGCUCUCUGGCCUGAUACUGACGCUGAGGUGCGAAAGCGUGGGGAGCAAACAGGAUUAGAACCCGCGUAGUC
rnacentral:rRNA from 1 species